rnacentral:rRNA from 1 species
ACGCUCGACACCUACGGAGGCAGCAGUGGGGAAUAUUGCACAAUGGGGGAAACCCUGAUGCAGCGACGCCGCGUGGAGGAAGAAGGUCUUCGGAUUGUAAACUCCUGUUGUUGGGGAAAAAGAGGAUGGUACCCAACAAGGAAGUGACGGCUAACUACGUGCCAGCAGCCGCGGUAAUCUGAGGCGGGCUGGCAAGGC